UACGGAGGGUGCAAGCGUUGUCCGGAAUCACUGGGCGUAAAGGGCGCGUAGGCGGCUCAUGAAGGCUGUGGUGAAAGUCCGGGGCUCAACCUCGGAUCGGCCGUGGCGACUCGUGGGCUGGAGCACUGUAGAGGCGGGUGGAAUUCCGGGUGUAGCGGUGGAAUGCGUAGAGAUCCGGAAGAACACCAGUGGCGAAGGCGGCCCGCUGGGCAGUGGCUGACGCUGAGGCGCGACAGCGUGGGGAGCAAACGAG
rnacentral:rRNA from 1 species